CCUACGGGAGGCUGCAGUGGGGGAUAUUGCACAAUGGGGGAAACCCUGAUGCAGCGACGCCGCGUGAGUGAAGAAGUAUUUCGGUAUGUAAAGCUCUAUCAGCAGGGAAGAAAAAAGACGGUACCUGACUAAGAAGCCCCGGCUAACUACGGGCCAGCAGCCGCGGUAAUACGUAGGGGCAAGCGUUAUCCGGAUUUACUGGGUGUAAAGGGAGCGUAGACGGCAAUACAAGUCGGAAGUGAAAUACCCGGGCUCAACCUGGGAACUGCUUUGGAAACUGUAUGGCUGGAGUGCUGGAGAGGUAAGCGGAAUGCGUGGGGUAGCGGUGAAAUGCAUAGAUAUCACGCAGAACCCCGAUUGCGAAGGCAGCAUACCGGUGCACAACUGACGCUCAGGCACGAAAGCGUGGGUAUCGAACAGGAUUAGAUACCCCAGUAGUC
rnacentral:rRNA from 1 species